UUUAGGUGUAAAUUUUACUUACCUGGGUAUUAAUAGUUAGGUUCUUAAAACCCAAAGAAUUUGGCGGUACCUCAUUCCUUUCAGAGGAACCUACCCCGUGAUUGAUAGUACACGAUUAACUUUACUUGAUUUAUUUGCUUGUAUAUCUCCGUUAUCAGAGGAUCUUUUUGGGGUAAUAAUUUUCUAAAUUUAUAAUUUUAAAUUAUUUCAGGUCAAGGUGCAGCUUAUAAUUAAGUGGAGGUGGGUUACAAUAAAUUUUUGUUUAUUAUGGAAUUAAUAAUGUAAAAUAUUAAUGAAGGUGGAUUUGAUAGUAAUUUAAUUUAUUUAAUUUAAUUGAUAUUGGCUCUGAGGUGUGU
rnacentral:rRNA from 1 species